AUUGAACGCUGGCAGCAGGCCUAAAACAUGCAAGUCGAACGAGUGGGGACGGGUGAGUAACACGUUGGUAACCUCCCAUCAGAGGGGAUAACACUUGGAAACAGGGGCUAAACCGAUACGGCUGGAUGGACCAGAGGUGCCUUAGCUAUUGGGUGAGGUAACGACUCACCAAGGCCACGAUGGAUAGCCGACCUGAGAGGAGGAUCGGCGACAUUGGGACUGAGAAACGUCCCAGACUCCGACAGGAGGCAGCAGUAGCGAAUCUUCGGCAAUAGACGCAAGUCUGACCGAGCAACGCCGCGUAAGUGAAGAAGGUUUUCGGAUCGUAAAACUCUGUUGUAAGAGACGCGGUAUCUAACCAGAAAGCCACGGCUAACUACGUGCCAGCAGCCGCGGUAAUUC
rnacentral:rRNA from 1 species